rnacentral:rRNA from 1 species
UACGUAGGGGGCAAGCGUUGUCCGGAAUUAUUGGGCGUAAAGCGCGCGUAGGCGGCCCGGUAAGUCCGUUGUGAAAGUCCAGGGCUCAACCUUGGAACGCCGAUGGAUACUGCCGGGCUAGAGUCCGGAAGAGGCGAGUGGAAUUCCUGGUGUAGCGGUGGAAUGCGCAGAUAUCAGGAGGAACACCGGUGGCGAAGGCGGGUCUCUGGGCAGUAACUGACGCUGAGGAGCGAAAGCGUGGGGAGCGAACAGG